UAGUAGGUUGGGUAAAGGCUGACCUAGGCGACGAUCCGUAGCUGGUCUGAGAGGAUGAUCAGCCACACUGGGACUGAGACACGGCCCAGACCCCUACGGGAGGCAGCAGUGGGGAAUUUUGGACAAUGGGGGCAACCCUGAUCCAGCCAUGCCGCGUGAGUGAAGAAGGCCUUCGGGUUGUAAAGCUCUUUCGGCCGGAACGAAAUCGCAUCUUCUAAUACGGGGUGUGGAUGACGGUACCGGAAGAAGAAGCACCGSCUAACUACGUGCCAGCAGCCGCGGUAAUACGUAGGGUGCGAGCGUUAAUCGGAAUUACUGGGCGUAAAGCGUGCGCAGGCGGCUCUUCAAGUCAGAUGUGAAAGCCCCGGGCUUAACCUGGGAACUGCGUUUGAAACUGGAGGGCUAGAGUGUGGCAGAGGGAGGUGGAAUUCCACGUGUAGCAGUGAAAUGCGUAGAGAUGUGGAGGAACACCGAUGGCGAAGGCAGCCUCCUGGGCCAACACUGACGCUCAGGCACGAAAGCGUGGGGAGCAAACAGGAUUAGAUACCCUGGUAGUCCACGCCCUAAACGAUGUCGACUGGUUGUUGGGGAAGGAAACUUCCUUAGUAACGAAGCUAACGCGUGAAGUCGACCGCCUGGGGAGUACGGCCGCAAGGUUAAAACUCAAAGGAAUUGACGGGGACCCGCACAAGCGGUGGAUUAUGUGGAUUAAUUCGAUGCAACGCGAAAAACCUUACCUACCCUUGACAUGUCCGGAAGCCUGAUGAGAGUUGGGUGUGCCCGAAAGGGAGCCGGAGCACAGGUGCUGCAUGGCUAUCGUCAGCUCGUGUCGUGAGAUGUUGGGUUAAGUCCCGCAACGAGCGCAACCCUUGCCAUUAGUUGCCACACUUCGGGUGGGCACUUUAAUGGGACUGCCGG
rnacentral:rRNA from 1 species